UCAAUAGAAAAAAUUGAGGAUGCCACCGA
rnacentral:sRNA from 1 species